rnacentral:rRNA from 1 species
UACGUAGGGUGCGAGCGUUGUCCGGAAUUAUUGGGCGUAAAGAGCUCGUAGGCGGCUUGUCGCGUCGUCCGUGAAAACUUGGGGCUCAACCCCAAGCUUGCGGUCGAUACGGGCAGGCUAGAGUUCGGUAGGGGAGACUGGAAUUCCUGGUGUAGCGGUGAAAUGCGCAGAUAUCAGGAGGAACACCGGUGGCGAAGGCGGGUCUCUGGGCCGAUACUGACGCUGAGGAGCGAAAGCGUGGGGAGCGAACAGG